CCAGGUUAAGAGUUAGGCAUCUCCUUGAGAUGUCCUUAUUUGCUUAGGUCCUGCAUGAAAGCACAUAGUGCCCUAGCUCUUUUGAAAAGCAGGAAAAUCCUGAAAGAAAGCAACACAGAGCUUUCUCCAUUGUGAGGUAGUGAGGAGGGGAUUAGGACACUAGGUGAGAAAGGACAGGCCUAGACAAUGAAGCAAGGGGCGAGUGGGUGGAUGGGUAAAACCACCUGCUCCUCAAAACAGCCAGGCUCUGAGAUGAAGCAGGAAUCUGCACUUAAACCGAGGCUGGAUCCAUCCUAGGGAUUCAAGCCUGUGUUGUCAAGCGAAAACAGAAAAGAGAAGGGAAUUCCACCUUUGCCCACUGAGAACACAUCUAUGCUGAGAACACAUCUACCCAACUCCUCUGUCACAACCCCUGUGAGAAGGUUCUGCCAUCUCCCAGCCCUGAAGAUUGUGAGCUCCCUGAUGGCCCUGGGCCUCCCUCCCGACAGCUGAGGCCCUUCCUGGAUCUCUACACGUCACCAAGCUAAGCCAGUGUUCCAAAAUAGUCUCCUGAACAAUGAUGACAACUGCACAGUUAUUUUGGAAGAACUUCCUGGCAGUGAUGGCAGUGGAACAUUGGAAACAGAGAUGAACAGGAGGUGGGAAGAGGAGGCUAAGUACAUGUAGGCCUAAAAGUCUCUGCCUUGGGAGAUUUUUAACAGUCCUGGAUGGAGAAACACAAAGACCCAGUGGAGUCUGCAUUUUCUAGUUUUAGUCAGCCAUUCUGGAAGCUGCGUCCUGGUAACCGCAGUGUCCCAGCUGUGAACUCCGGGCAAGUGUACAGCAUCAUCUUCCAUUCACCAUGUGGUUACUGCACUUCUCAUACAAACUACCUGCGUUACUCAGUUAUCCAGUAUCAAGGACUAUGCCACACUCCUUAGAGCAGAUGCAGGGCACUUAGAGAUUAAUAAAACAGGCCGAGCACAGCCUGUAACCCCAGCACUUUGGGAGCCUGAGAUGGAAGAACUGCUUGAGCCCAGGAGUUCAAGACCAGCCUCGGC
rnacentral:lncRNA from 1 species